AACGAACGCUGGCGGCAUGCCUAAUACAUGCAAGUCGAACGAUAUCUUCGGAUCUAGUGGCGCACGGGUGCGUAACGCGUGGUAAUCUGCCCUUGGGUUCGGAAUAACUUCUGUAAACGGAAGCUAAUACCGGAUGAUGACGUAAGUCCAAAGAUUUAUCGCCCAAGGAUGAGCCCGCGUAGGAUUAGGUAGUUUGUGAGGUAAAGGCUCACCAAGCCGAAGAUCCUUAGCUGGUCUGAGAGGAUGAUCAGCCACACUGGGACUGAGACACGGCCCAGAAUAGUACGGGAGGAAGGAGAAGGGAAUAUUGGAAAAUGGGCGAAAGCAUGAUAAAGCAAUGACGGGUGAGUGAUGAAGGGCUUAGGGUUGUAAAGCUGUUUUAACCGGGAUGAUAAUGACAGUACCGGGAGAAUAAGCACCGGCUAACUACGUG
rnacentral:rRNA from 1 species